rnacentral:rRNA from 1 species
CCAGACUCCUACGGGAGGCAGCAGUGAGGAAUAUUGGUCAAUGGGCGGGAGCCUGAACCAGCCAAGUCGCGUGAGGGAUGACGGCCCUACAGGUUGUAAACCUCUUUUGCCGGGGAGCAAAGAGCGGGACGCGUCCCGCCUCGAGAGUACCCGGAGAAAAAGCAUCGGCUAACUCCGUGCCAGCAGCCGCGGUAAUACGGAGGAUGCGAGCGUUAUCCGGAUUUAUUGGGUUUAAAGGGUGCGCAGGCGGAGGCGCAAGACAGGGUUAAAAUGGGGGGCCUCACCCUCUCCCCGCCGUUGAAACUGCGUUUCUUGAGUGGGCGAGAAGUACGCGGAAUGCGUGGUGUAGCGGUGAAAUGCAUAGAUAUCACGCAGAACCCCGAUUGCGAAGGCAGCCUUCCGGCGCCCUACUGACGCUGAGGCACGAAAGUGCGGGGAUCGAACAGGAUUAGAUACCCUUGUA